GUGAUGCAGCCAUGCCGCGUGUGUGAAGAAGGCCUUCGGGUUGUAAAGCACUUUCAGUAGGGAGGAAGGUAGUGUAGUUAACACCUGCAUUAUUUGACGUUACCUACAGAAGAAGCACCGGCUAACUCCGUGCCAGCAGCCGCGGUAAUACGGAGGGUGCGAGCGUUAAUCGGAAUUACUGGGCGUAAAGCGCAUGCAGGCGGCCUGUUAAGUCAGAUGUGAAAGCCCGGGGCUUAACCUCGGAAUUGCAUUUGAAACUGGCAGGCUAGAGUCUUGUAGAGGGGGUAGAAUUUCAGGUGUAGCGGUGAAAAUGCGUAGAGAUCUGAAGGAAUACCAGUGGCGAAGGCGGCCCCCUGGACAAAGACUGACGCUCAGAUGCGAAAGCGUGGGGAGCAAACAGGAUUAGAUACCCUGGUAG
rnacentral:rRNA from 1 species